rnacentral:rRNA from 1 species
AAUCUUCCACAAUGGACGGAAGUCUGAUGGAGCAACGCCGUGUGAGCGAAGAAGGUUUUCGGAUCGUAACGCUCUGUUGUAAGGGAAGAACACGUCCGGGAGUCACUGCCCGUACCUCGACGGUACAUUAUCAGAAUGCCACGGUGAACUACGGGCCAGCCGCCGCGGUAGUACGUAGGUGGCAAGCGUUGUCCGUACUUGUUGGGCGUAAAGCGCGAGCAGGCGGUCCUUUAAGUCUGAUGUGAAAGCCCACGGCUCAACCGUGGAGGGUCAUUGGAAACUGAAGGACUUGAGUACAAAAGAGGAAAGCGGAAUUCCACGUGUAGCGGUGAAAUGCAUAGAGAUGUGGAGGAACACCAGUGGCGAAGGCGGCUUUCUGGUCUGUAACUGACGCUGAGGCGCGAAAGCGUGGGGAGCAAACA